rnacentral:rRNA from 1 species
AUGUAUCGUGCGCUCACACAUUCUGAGGUACCAGUGAGUAAUAACAAGAAAAUUUGGAAGUCCAAGGUUCCACUAAAACUGAAAUUUUUCAUGUGGUAUCUUCGUAGGGGGGUUGUGUUAACCAAAGACAAUCUCGCACGACGCAACUGGCAAGGGAGUAAGAAGUGUUGUUUCUGUACUCAUGACGAGACAAUCAAACACCUCCUUUUCCAAUGCAAGUUUGCGCGUUCUACGUGGUCAGUCAUCCAAAUAGCGUCAAAUUUGUAUCCGCCCACAACUGUUGCCAAUAUUUUUGGUCAUUGGCUGGACGAUAUUUCAAAUAGGUUCAAAACGCUAAUAAGGGUGGGAGCGUAUGCCUUAAUUUGGUUGCUUUGGCUAUGUAGAAAUGAUUUUGUUUUUAAUGGAAGAAAUGCUUCUCCUCCACAGGUUAUUUUCCGCUGUACGCACUUGCUAUGUAUGUGGUCUAUGUUACAACGACCGGAGGACCAACCGUUGUUCAAGGCGGUCUGUAUGCGAUUGGAGCAGGUGGCUAUGGAGGUUUUUUCCCAACAUGGGUGGCAACAUAACCUUCGGAUCGAUCCACCACCUCCAUCGACAUAG